CCUUCGGAGGUACUCGAGUGGCGAACGGGUGAGUAACACGUGGGUAAUCUGCCCUGCACUUCGGGAUAAGCCUGGGAAACUGGGUCUAAUACCGGAUAGGACCACUUGGCGCAUGCCUUGUGGUGGAAAGCUUUUGCGGUGUGGGAUGGGCCCGCGGCCUAUCAGCUUGUUGGUGGGGUGACGGCCUACCAAGGCGACGACGGGUAGCCGGCCUGAGAGGGUGUCCGGCCACACUGGGACUGAGAUACGGCCCAGACUCCUACGGGAGGCAGCAGUGGGGAAUAUUGCACAAUGGGCGCAAGCCUGAUGCAGCGACGCCGCGUGGGGGAUGACGGCCUUCGGGUUGUAAACCUCUUUCAGCAGGGACGAAGCGCAAGUGACGGUACCUGCAGAAGAAGCACCGGCCAACUACGUGCCAGCAGCCGCGGUAAUACGUAGGGUGCGAGCGUUGUCCGGAAUUACUGGGCGUAAAGAGCUCGUAGGUGGUUUGUCGCGUUGUUCGUGAAAACCGGGGGCUUAACCCUCGGCGUGCGGGCGAUACGGGCAGACUGGAGUACUGCAGGGGAGACUGGAAUUCCUGGUGUAGCGGUGGAAUGCGCAGAUAUCAGGAGGAACACCGGUGGCGAAGGCGGGUCUCUGGGCAGUAACUGACGCUGAGGAGCGAAAGCGUGGGGAGCGAACAGGAUUAGAUACCCUGGUAGUCCACGCCGUAAACGGUGGGUACUAGGUGUGGGUUUCCUUCCUUGGAAUCCGUGCCGUAGCUAACGCAUUAAGUACCCCGCCUGGGGAGUACGGCCGCAAGGCUAAAACUCAAAGGAAUUGACGGGGGCCCGCACAAGCGGCGGAGCAUGUGGAUUAAUUCGAUGCAACGCGAAGAACCAUUACCUGGGUUUGACAUGCACAGGACGCCGGCAGAGAUGUCGGUUCCCUUGUGGCCUGUGUGCAGUGGUGCAUGGCAUGUCGUCAGCUCGUGUCGUGAGAUGUUGGGUUAAGUCCCGC
rnacentral:rRNA from 1 species